CGGAGAAACUAGUGUGUUGGCGGCGCCCCGGCUGUACCUCAGUAGCAGCGCGCUCAGCGGCUUUUGCGAGCUCGGGGAGGAGAGCAGCGGCGGCGAGGGCUGCGGAGCCUCGCGCGGGCGGCUAGGGGCCUCUGAGCGCGGCGGGUGGCGACGCCACGAGCGCAUGGAUGACUUCCCCCAUUUAAAACUGUUUCCCGGACUUCCCUGGUGGUGCAGUGGUUAAGAAUCCGCCUGCCAAUGCAGGGGACACGGGUUCGAGCCCUGGUCCGGGAAGAUCCCACAUGCCGUGGAGCAACUAAGCCCGUGUGCCACAACUGCUGAACCUGCGCUCUACAGCCUGCGAGCCACAACUACUGAAGCCUGUGCGCGCCUAGAGCCCGUACUCUGCAACAAGAGAAGCCACCGCAAUGAGAAGCCCCCACUAGCCGCAACUAGAGAAAGUCUGCGUACAGCAACGAAGACCCAAGGCAGCCCAAAAUGAACGAAUGAAUGAAUGAAUAAUAAAAUAAAAUAAAACUGUUUCCCUCCCCAUCCGCUUUUGAGGACACUGCUGGUUCUCUCUUCCUACCACUCUUACUCCAGCACUUUACAGGCCAGACCUGCCACCUGCCAUGAAUGAGUAUCUGGGCUCCCCCCACCCCCCAGCCCUGGGCUCCAUCCUAAACUCCUUUCUAUACUUUACAUGCUUUCCUCUCGGGGACCUUAGUCACUCCCAUGGCUUCAAUUACCUCUUAUGUGCUGAUAACUCACAAAAGGUACCCCAAAUCCUACCCACUCUUUGAGCACCAGACCGCUGAGUCCCACUGUCAGGCGGCUCUCUCCACCUAGACGCCUUGUUCUCCGCAGAUGUGGUGGCUUCCUGGCUUAACCUCCCAUCCCUCAGCCCUGACUCUCCAGACAUACCAAACCUUCAUUCCCUGGCAGACGCGUCAAGUCCUGUUUCACUUUUCCCCUGACUGGUCUUCAUCUGCUGAGAUGUGACCAUGAAUUCUGGCAGAUUCUUCUGUGACAAAGUACAAAGACUGUCACCAGGGUCCAAGGACCCUGAUACCGAGACGAGAGACCCAACAUCCCCUCGAUCUAGUAUCAGACACAUUCCUACAGCCAUUGUUCACCAGGACCUGUGCCAGCUCAGAUUUGGUCUCUCUUUUGUUAGGAGCUAUUCCCCUCCUCGGUUGACAUGCCUGCCGGGACGGCUCUGGGAUGGAGGAGCAGCGGGGACUCCAUGGGACUGCAGACGCCCCCAGACAGGGCCUCAGACUGCUUCCACCAGCUUUACCUUUUAACUCCCGAGCUUUGGUGUCCAACAUCUUCUUUUCUUCCUCAGUUUCACUAGGAAUUCCUUCAUCUUCAUCUCUGUUCCCAAUACAACCACAACAAAACAACACAUUCUGAAGAUGUCGAUUAGUCUGAUGGCAGCCCAACCAUUAUGAAACCACAGAAGUACCAGGAGGCGGGGGUGGGCCAGGGUGUGUGACUCACAGGGUGCUGAUCGUGUCCUGGAUGAUCUGAAUCCAGCUGUUCCGCUCCUCUUUGGAGCUGGCGUGGACUUCCACCAUCUCUGGAUCUUUCAUCCCCAUACUGAUUAGGAACAAACCUUUCUCCUCGUGUGCUACCUCUCUUACAAUCAGCUUCUUUAGGGAGAUCACCGUUGACUUCUGGUCCUGGAAAAUGGGGAGAGCGCAGACGUUAAGACAUGGAUACAACAUUCUAGCUCUUAAGACAACCUCCGUCUAAGAUUAAGAUCAACUAAAUGCCUGCUGCUCCUGUGUGACGUCCGGACAUGGGUCCCUGGGAACAACCUGGUGACAUCUGGAUUCUGCCCGCUGCCCUCUGGCACGCGCUUAGACUCUGACGAGAGUGAGCCUCACCUUUCCGCCUCCCUGUUGUGCUCUUCAGAAACACGCUCCCAUCCCGCACGAGCUUCUUCUGCUUCAGAUCCUCCUUGGCAAACAUCUGACCACUCUUCAUUCUCAUGAUCGACUUGCUAUCUGUCUUUGUAUAAAUUUCAUUGAGACGGACCUUCUUUUCAUAACUCGCCACUUUGCUGUCCACAGCUCCAAUCACAUCCUUCACCAGGCCCAGGGACUGAGCUAGAUCUUCCUGUUCCACUUCACUGUCUGAGAAGGAAAGAAUAACUGUCUCUACUGGGCAGAAGGAGGGGCACGCUGCCUUCUUUUUUUUCUUUUUUCUUUUCUUUUUUUUUUUUUUUUUUUGCGGUACGCGGGCCUCUCCCUGUUGUGGGCUCUCCCAUUGGGGAGCACAGGCGCCGGACGCACAGGCUCAGCGGCCAUGGCUCACGGGCCCAGCCGCUCCGCGGCAUGUGGGAUCUUCCAGGACCGGGGCACGAACCUGCGUCCCCUGCAUUGGCAGGCGGACUCCCAACCACUGCGCCACCAGGGGAGCCCCAGGACCCUGCCUUCUUGCUCCACAUCACUGUCUUCCCUCUGUGGGCACGCUGGCAGAGCGAAGCCAACACGUCGAAGGGCACGUGCCUACCCCUCGCUGUCAGAGUUUAAAUCAAGUUAGAUGUUUCAAAGAUACAGAUGACAUGCAAUUAUGUGCCACGUUCUAAAGUGGAAGGAACCCAACAUUUUUAGGGAGGGAGAGGAGCAACCAGUUUUUUAUUUACGUCUUUGUUUUACCUGAUCCUUAAUAUAACUGUCCAGGAGCAGCAUUAGCUGAGAGAGAAACUACUAAGUAGUGGUUAAACGAGAAACAGCGGUGAUUGUAGCACUUGUAGGUGGAAUCACCUCCCAGUCUAGGGACAAGUGACAAGUUGCUUAGGUCACUGAACUCUCAUUGGCAUCACUAAGUGGUUCCGUCCCUUCUUGCUCUCAUUCACCCUAAGUCUGCUGAUAUAACACCUUAUGUUUUCACUCAAGAAAACUGUCUUUAAGAUAAAACACAGGCUCUCUUUUAGACCUUCUCGACGUAAAAGAGGUCUUCUACGGGGUCUCCAGUGCUCUUGGACAGACCGGAACAGUCCACUGGCAAACAAGACUGAGUCCAGAGAGAGACGCACCUUUGGUACACUGCAAUAUUCUUUGGAACAAAACCGGGUAUUUGGUGAUCUGUUGGGUUACAAGCAAUAUACACUCUGGGAUUCCAAGCCUCCGUACGACUGAACUGCUCAUCUUCUUCUGCAAGGAAGUAAACCAAGUGUCAGGAUCUACCCAAGGGAGAAGGCUCGAGCCAAAACUGACAGUGACACAAGGCUCUGGACAACAGGGAAAUCCCCACCGUUUCACAUCGGUACCUUCACAAAGGCCUGAAAACGCUUAUCCUUGGCAUAGAGGUCUUUGAAGUAGUUUACAGACUGGUUGUGCUGCCCACAAAACUUGCCGUAUGUCUUCUUUAAGCGUUCUGCGUUCUCUCCUGAAAACUGCAGAGGAAAGAGAGCAGAGGUUAUGCCAUAACUCAGGGUGCUAAACUCCUAUUACCAUUUUGUCUAAAGUUUCCAGUCUACUUGUGAAACCCAAGAGAGCUCCCUCCAAAGAUUGAAAGAUUAAAAUGGUACAGGAGCUUUGGAAAACAGUUUAGCAGUUCCUCAAAAAGUUAAAUAUAGAGUUACCAUAGGACUCAGCAAUUCCACUCCUGGACAUAAAAACAUAUGUCCACACAAAAACCUGUAUAUGAAUGUUCACAGCAGCAUUAUUCACAACAGCCCCAGAGUGGAAAUAACCCAAGUGUUCAUCAGAGGAUAAAUGGAUAACAUAUGAAUGAAAAAAGCCAAUCACAAAGGACAACAUAUUGCUUUAUUCCAUUUAUAUAAAAUGUGCAGAAUAGGCAACCCCACAGAGAAAGUAGAUCAGUGGCUGCCUAGGGCUGGGGAAGUUGGUGGGGGUGACGAUGAUAAAAAUGCUCUACAACGGACCAUGGCGACGGCUGCACAAGAGUCACGGAUAUACUGAAAACCACUGAACUGUGCACUUUAAAUGGGAUCACAUGGCAUAUGAUUUACACUUCAAUAAAGCUGUUACAUGUAUUUAAAAAAUAAUAAACACAGAAGUAUCUAUGUAC